UGUGUCAGGUCUAGUGCCCUACCACCCUGAAUGCAUUCCAUCUCAGAAGCUACGCAGGGUGGGCCUGGUUAGUACUUGGGUGGGAGAAUGUGUGUCAGAUGUUGAGCCUGGCAUCU
ensembl:rRNA 5S_rRNA 5S ribosomal RNA